AUUGAACGCUGGCGGCAUGCUUUACACAUGCAAGUCGAACGGUAACAGGGUGCUUGCACCGCUGACGAGUGGCGAACGGGUGAGUAAUGCGUCGGAACGUGCCGAGUAGUGGGGGAUAACGCAGCGAAAGUUGUGCUAAUACCGCAUACGUACUGAGGUAGAAAGUGGGGGACCUUCGGGCCUCACGCUAUUCGAGCGGCCGACGUCUGAUUAGCUAGUAGGUGAGGUAAAGGCUCACCUAGGCGACGAUCAGUAGCGGGUCUGAGAGGAUGAUCCGCCACACUGGGACUGAGACACGGCCCAGACUCCUACGGGGGGCAGCAGUGGGGAAUUUUGGACAAUGGGCGAGAGCCUGAUCCAGCCAUGCCGCGUGUCUGAAGAAGGCCUUCGGGUUGUAAAGGACUUUUGUCAGGGAGGAAAUCCCUAGUGCUAAUAACACUGGGGGAUGACAGUACCUGAAGAAUAAGCACCGGCUAACUACGUGCCAGCAGCCGCAGUAA
rnacentral:rRNA from 1 species